GACAGAGGGUGCAAACGUUGUUCGGAAUUACUGGGCGUAAAGCGCGUGUAGGCGGCCCUGCAAGUCGGGUGUGAAAUCCCAUGGCUCAACUAUGGAAGUGCACUCGAAACUGCAGGGCUAGAGUCCUGGAGAGGAAGGUGGAAUGCUUGGUGUAGAGGUGAAAUUCGUAGAUAUCAAGCGGAACACCGGUGGCGAAGGCGGCCUUCUGGACAGUGACU
rnacentral:rRNA from 1 species